GCAACUUAAAUUGUUCUUCUAGAAGGGUUGUAGCUUGGCUCUUCGGAUAUGUGCACGCCUGUCUGGACUUCAUUUUCAUCCACCUGUGCACCUUUUGUAGUCUUUUUCAGGUAUUGGAGGAAGUGGUCAGCCUAUCAGCUCUUUGCUGGAUGUAAGGACUUGCAGUGUGAAAACAGUGCUGUCCUUUACCUUGGCCAUGGAAUCUUUUUCCUGUUAGAGUCUAUGUUAUUCAUUAUACUCUUAGAAUGUCAUUGAAUGUCUUUACAUGGGCUAUGCCUAUGAAAAUUAUUAUACAACUUUCAGCAACGGAUCUCUUGGCUCUCGCAUCGAUGAAGAACGCAGCGAAAUGCGAUAAGUAAUGUGAAUUGCAGAAUUCAGUGAAUCAUCGAAUCUUUGAACGCAUCUUGCGCUCCUUGGUAUUCCGAGGAGCAUGCCUGUUUGAGUGUCAUUAUAUUCUCAACUCUCCAAUACUUUGUUGUAAAGGAGAGCUUGGAUUGUGGAGGUUUGCUGGCUCCUUACUUGGGGUCAGCUCCUCUGAAAUGCAUUAGCGGAAUCGUCUGCGAUCUGCCACAAGUGUGAUAACUUAUCUACACUGGCGAGGGGAUUGCUUUCUGAUGUUCAGCUUCUAAUCGUCUAAGGACAAUUUCUUGAAUGCUUGACCUCAAAUCAGGUAGGACUACCCGCUGAACUUAAGCUUAAUAC
rnacentral:rRNA from 1 species